ensembl:snRNA U6 U6 spliceosomal RNA
GCGCUCGCUUCGGCAGCACACAUACUAAAAUUGGAAUGAUACAGAAUAGAUUAGCAUGGCCCCUGCUCAAGGAUGACAUGCAAAUUCAUAAAGCAUUCCAUAAAAAU